rnacentral:rRNA from 1 species
UACGUAGGGUGCAAGCGUUGUCCGGAAUUAUUGGGCGUAAAGAGCUCGUAGGCGGUCUGUCGCGUCGGCUGUGAAAUCCCGAGGCUCAACCUCGGGUCUGCAGUCGAUACGGGCAAACUGGAGUGUUGCAGGGGAGACUGGAAUUCCUGGUGUAGCGGUGAAAUGCGUAGAGAUCGGGAGGAACACCAGUGGCGCAAGCGGCCCCCAAGCCUGAACCUGACGCUGAAGCGCGACAGCGUGGGGAGCAAACGGG